rnacentral:rRNA from 1 species
CGUAAGGGAAAACAACUCAUGGCGAAGCAGGCAACUUGAUCAAGCAUGACCGUUAGUAGCAAAGCAGUGGGGAGCCAACCGGAUUGGUUCCCUUGUUAUGUUCAAGCCCCUCUAACAAGAUGAGAACUGACGUGUCUCUACUUAGGAGAUCAGUGUCGUAGCUAACGCGUAAGAACUCCGCCUCGGGGAGUACGGUCGGCAAGGACUGAAAAUUUCAAAGAGAAUUGACGGGGGCUCACACAACGCGGGUGGGAUGAUGUGGCUUAAUUCGAGGCAACGCGAAGGAAACAUUAUCUUUGGACUUGACAUGCAUGGAUUAACCCUGUGAAAGCAGGGCCACGCCUUCGGGUGGAACAUGCACAGGUGCUGCAUGGCUGUCGUCAGCUCGUGUCGUGAGACGUCGCGUUAAGUCGCUUAACGAGCGCAACCCUUGUUGUCUGUUACAAGUGUCAGGCAAGACUGCCCAGCCCAAUGUACAUGAAUAUGUGCAGUAUGUAGCUUUUACUUAAACAAAAAGAUUUAUCUUUAGUUUUUGUGAAAGUUGCAUACUGCAUAUACAUUGUGUACGUUAUGGAGCUUUUAUUUUAGCAAAAGAUUUAUCUGCGCUAUUUUGAAAGUUCCAUAACGUACAUAUAUUUGUGGAUAUCGGGCUGGGAGGAAGGAGAGGAUGACGCCAAGUCAUCACGGCCCUUACGUCCUGGGCCACACACGUGCUACAAUGGCAGGUACAGAGGGCAGCUACACCGCGAGGUGAUGCAAAUCUCAAAAACCUGUCUCAGUUCGGAUCGAAGUAUGAAACUCGACUUCGCGAAGCUGGAAUCGCUAGUAAUCGCGCAUCAGCCAUGGCGCGGUGAAUACGUUCCCGGGCCUUGUACACACCGCCCGUCAAACAAUGGAAGUUGGGAGUACCUAAAGUCGGUAACCGUAAGGAGCUGCCUAGGGUAAAACCUGUAACUGGUGUUAAGUGUAACAAGGUAACCUAGGGC